rnacentral:rRNA from 1 species
GACGAACGCUGGCGGCGUGCUUAACACAUGCAAGUCGAACGGAAAGGCCCUGCUUUUGUGGGGUGCUCGAGUGGCGAACGGGUGAGUAACACGUGAGUAACCUGCCCUUGACUUUGGGAUAACUUCAGGAAACUGGGGCUAAUACCGGAUAGGAGCUCCUGCUGCAUGGUGGGGGUUGGAAAGUUUCGGCGGUUGGGGAUGGACUCGCGGCUUAUCAGCUUGUUGGUGGGGUAGUGGCUUACCAAGGCUUUGACGGGUAGCCGGCCUGAGAGGGUGACCGGCCACAUUGGGACUGAGAUACGGCCCAGACUCCUACGGGAGGCAGCAGUGGGGAAUAUUGCACAAUGGGCGGAAGCCUGAUGCGGCAACGCCGCGUGCGGGAUGACGGCCUUCGGGUUGUAAACCGCUUUCGCCUGCGACGAAGCGUGAGUGACGGUAAUGGGUAAAGAAGCACCGGCUAACUACGUG